CAAAAUAGAUGAGCAGUUAUGUAAGGUCAUGUGAGGAAAGUGGUUGGUCUUUGGUCAAUGAAAGAGUUAGUCACACAUCAUUGAGCUGGAUGGCCCUGGGAGGAAAUGUGGAGCCACUCUUUGUGUGUUCAAGGACUGCAGAGGGAGAACUUCAGCCAUAAUUCCUCACUACCCCCUGAGCUUAGGCCUCCCCUUUACAGACUAGGCAUUGCAGGAGGCAUCUGGUGGUGUUAACCAGAAAAUAGGGAGUUGAAGUUUGUUGAGAUCCUCCCCACCUUCCUCUUCCCAAAUCACUCAACCCUCCUCUGAAGGAAUUAAGCAACCACCUGAUGAUUUUAGGGUGCAAAUGUGCUGUUGUGCAUCCCCCCCAGCUCAUCUGCUCUGGAAGCACUCGGAGGCCAAUCUCUUGAAGGUCAUUUGAGACCAUUGGACUAGCAGGGCAGCAAGGCUUGCCUGGCAGCCUCCACGGGACAUGGAGCAGCAGUCACCUGGCACAAGCUAUCAGUAGGACUCAUGGCCUGAUGAGUGCGGAAGAGGGCUGGAAAGGAAACUCAUGUGGGGCAAGUGAUCACACUGUUUCCAUUAACUUAUGCUGGAUGCCAACAGUGCAGCUGAGCUGUUCUUGACCCCCGGUCUAUGGUAAUGAGAAGACUUUGCCGGAAGCCUUCAAGUGGAAUCUGUUGCUUUGGGAGCGAUUCAUCCAAGAUGGUCAAUUUUCACUGCAGAGGAGAAGGAAGGUCAUUCGGAAAUGUUCUCUCCAAGGAAAAACACUCUUCAUUUCUAUUUUAAUCCCUCUGGGGAUUAAUUGCCUCCUAAAAAAACCCUGGAACAGCAGAGAAGUAACAGCAUGCAGGCAAGCACGUGUGAUAAGGAGUAGGCUGGGGACAACUGUGUUUCAGACUGGCUGUUGCACAGAUUUGCUUUUUGAAAGCAUUUUUUAAGAGGCGGGGAGGGGAGGAACAGAAAAAAUGUUCCUGGAUAACAAGCUGUAGUUACAGCUGAAAACAACAGGAGAAAAUAUCCUAACUGGAGAGAAAAAACUCCAACUGCCUAUUAAGCACCCCCUUCCCCCACUCCUUUACCCAUAGGCCCAACUUCGUCUGCUGGGGCAGCACUGAGCUAUGGGGAGACUAUUCCCAGACAUUUCAGGUUGUAGCUGGAUAAUGUGGUAAACCUCACAGUAGGGCUCCUGCCAUCAGAUCAAACACACCCUGGCCAUGCCAUGCACAGAGUAAGUAAGUAUAAACUUGUUCUUUCAAAAUAUUUAGUGAAUUUUUGAGACAACAAUUCAUGCACAGUCAGGCUUCAUGCCUGUGCUGCUCUGUCUUUUCUUCUGGAUCAGGUGCUGUCCAUCCUCCCAACAGAUGGGACAAAGCCAUCACAAGCACCAUUCAACAGAAAUGAGCUCUGUUGCCAUGCCUCAGCCAGACCAGAUUUAUAGGGAUGCAGAUGGGCAUCGGUUGGAUGAAAGCAAUCAGAUCCUCACCCCCGAAUAUGUAUCACCAAGAUAAGCAUGGGUAGACUGGCAGGUGUUGUUCAAAUGCAGGAUUUCAGGAGGUUAUUUGAAAGCCAAGUCACCGAGGGGCAUCACAAUUUAGCUGGGUCAGUUUGUCUAGGUAAGGGUCACAACCAGAAGCUCCUUUGGCCAGUGCUGUUGCUGAGAUGUGUGGAGCUGCAUCCUCCAUAACAGUGCUCCUGUUGACUUCUUGGCUGUGUCCCCAUCAGGCCCAGAUCUGCUUCGUUGUGAAACCCGAGAGUAGUAUCCUAUGCCUGGCAGGAAUGAAGACCAAAGUAAAUAAGCCUUGAUAGAAAACACACUUGUUAGGGAGAGAACGCGUGUUAGAUUUCAUAAUUCACCUUGGGACUCAUUCACCGAAGGCAGUUCUGAGCCCAUUAGCACUGAUAUCUAUUUUUAGCUCUCAUUCCUGUCAGCUGCGGGUCCCAGUCCAUGCAUGUGACAUGCUGUCAAGGAUCCCUUUUUUUUUUCUUUAACAUUUAAAAAAACUACUGUGAGGUUUUUUUUCUGCUGGCUGUUCAACCUCCUCUCUGAAGCAGUAAGGGGAGAAGCUGAGCUGCUCUGCCUGUGGAGAGGUUUGCCAUUCCUCAUGGCUGAAGAUUUUCUAACCAUCCUUCACUUUCUGGCUGUUUCUGUGCAUCAGGGAUCCAUUUCAGCAAGUGCACAGGACAUAGGGGUGCUGGCUGGGCAAACCUCUGGGAGGUGACACCAACCUUCCCAGGCAUGCUUAGGAAGCACAGCUGUUUUCAAGCUAUAGUAGGAAAGUUCUAGUGGCAUUUCACUGGAGAGGUUUUCGGUAUCUCCUUCCUGAUCAGAUCUCCCCUCUGGGCUGUUUGAACUGGCUGUUUGCCUGACAGCAGCACAGGCCUCCCAGAGGCAGAGAGAAUUUUUUGUGUACCAUGUGGGAAAUUUGGGGCCUUCUGAAGUGAAAGAGAGCAUAGAAAUGCAAGAUCCUAUGGCUGCUGUUACCAGAGCUGAGCAAUCCAGCCAUUUUCCAGACUUCUGCAGAGCAAGAGAGCUCAAAGGUUAACAUAAGUGAAGAUGUUAUUGUGCUUGGGAAGCCAGAUGAAAGAAGCAGGAAGAUGAAUGACUUCAUGGGAGCAAAGAUGAGUGUGAUGAGAGGGGUUUCUGUCAUUCCAUAUAGGAAGUAAAACUUUCCGUGGAUACAGACCUUCUGCCAUACUUUUCAUCAGCAAAGCCCAGGAGUCCAGAGACUCUUGGGAUGGUGCAUGGAGUGACAGGGAGAGAGAAGGGCUGCAGAGGCUGGAGGUGAGGCAGAGGAUGAGGGAGAGGAGCACAGCAAUAUCUGAAGCAAGUGCAGCAGGAGCUGUGUGAGAGCACAGAAGGGGCCCCAAGCACUGGCACAAUUUAGGAGCUGAUGGAGUAUGAAGCUGUGAGUGUAAGCUAUGGAAGGUCCCUGGGAGGUAUGUUCAAAGCCAGUCUCCUGGGGAACCUAUCCAAAAGGCUUUACUGAAUAUAUUUGUUUAUACAUUUCCACCUAAUUGGGGUUAAUCUGCUUUCUGCUUUGGCUAAUCAGCUGGUUCAGAGGCCUAAUAGGUUGGAGGGGGAUGUUUUGCCCUCCUCCUGUUUUCAGGCCAUGAAGUCAGGGGCAAGAGAGCACUGUGGAGGGGCUCAGAGUUGCCUGCUGUCAAAUCUGGCGUAAAAGUACUUUAUCCCUUGAGGAAUGGUGCUGGAGAGCAGGUCUCCAGGAGAGACUAGUGCCUUUCUUCUUGCUAAUUGGUGGGUCUCAUGAAAAUGAAGGAUUACCGGGGAAAAAAAACACCUCUGCAAGAGCCUAGCACUAAGUGAGGUAACUGCUCUGUAGAAGUCUGCUGAGGCUCCCAAAUCCUGGUGGGUACCGUCCCCAGCUGGUCCUAUGUCCUGACCUUAUCCUUCUAACUCAGGCCCCCACCUCCAGCAAAGGAUAUGCAUGAGUUGGGCACACAUGCCUGGUGUCCAUCCAUCCCCUGUGAACUUUCUCUUCUGGGAGCCCUUCUGUGCCCAUCUGCUCAGGGACUGAUGCUAUUUCAGGUCCCUUUGCUGGCCACGUGGAGGUGAGUCAUGGGCCCCUCAUGCAAAAACUUCCUUGUAAUUUUAGGUUAAAGGAGACACUGUUGCCACCAGCACAUCCUGCCCUUUGAGGGUGGAAAAAAAGUCAGGAUGAGCUCAACCAUGUGACAAGAGCUCAUUGCGCUAAGGAGAAGCUGCUGUAAAUGCUGUCUCUAAUUACUGCAUAUUACCUAGCCUGUGAAUAUCAAACAUCUAGGGCCAAUAUAAAACAUCUUGUGUUGCUUUCACCACCCUGGUUACCUGCUCCCUUCCCCAAGUAUCAGAGCCUCAUUGAUCCCAGUCACAGCUCCCUCAGUCCCUUAUCCAGACAAGGGUCUUAAAGCUGUCACAGUGGGGUGAAACUUUCCUUUAACAUUAGUCAGUGCUUGCUCCAGUCAUGGCUUCAGAGUAUUUUCUUUUGGAAGAUGGACUAAUGAGUCACAGCAUGAAAUGCAAGAAAUGCUCCUGGUCUGGUGUGAGAUGUCCAGGUGAGGUGUUACUCCUGAGCAGCAACUGCAGCCAAAAAGCAUUCCUGCAAGAUGUGGUUGGACCUGGCUGCAAAGGAGCCUCAGCUACACUACAGCAGAGGGACAGCCCAGGGAGGAGCACUGUGAACUCACAGGGCAUGGGUUCAGCUCUGGCAUAGAUGCUCAGAGGUAUGGAACCCCAGUCCUCCCUGCCAAUAUUCAGAUCUAAGCUCAACCAGGCCAUCAGCAACCUGACCAAGCUUUGAAAAUGGCUGCAUU